AUGCUAAUUAGGGGUGGGCGUGGCUCUGAGGUCACGGCCCCGCCCCUUUUGCCCCUCCUCCCCCCAGAGAAGCCCCCGGAGGAGCCGCCGGCGAAGCUGCUGGACGAUUUGUUCCGCAAGACCAAAGCGGCGCCGUGCAUCUAUUGGCUGCCGCUGACCGACUCCCAGCUGCAGCAGAAGCAGGCGGAGCGCGCGGCGCGGGCGCGGGCUUUGCUCAUUAGCAUGAAUUUGCAUACACAGCUGCAGCAGAAGCAGGCGGAGCGCGCGGCGCGGGCGCGGGCUUUGCUCAUUAGCAUGAAUUUGCAUACAGCUGCAGCAGAAGCAGGCGGAGCGCGCGGCGCGGGCGCGGGCUUUGCUCAUUAGCAUGAAUUUGCAUACGCAGCUGCAGCAGAAGCAGGCGGAGCGCGCGGCGCGGGCUUUGCUCAUUAGCAUGAAUUUGCAUACGCAGCUGCAGCAGAAGCAGGCGGAGCGCGCGGCGCGGGCGCGGGCUUUGCUCAUUAGCAUGAAUUUGCAUACAGCUGCAGCAGAAGCAGGCGGAGCGCGCGGCGCGGGCGCGAGCUUUGCUCAUUAGCAUGAAUUUGCAUACACAGCUGCAGCAGAAGCAGGCGGAGCGCGCGGCGCGGGCGCGGGAGCGGGAGCGGCGCCGGAAGGAGCAGGAGGAGGAGGAGCUGCGCACGCGCCAGGGGGGCGGGGCCAAGGAGGGCGGGGCCAAGGAGGGCGGGGCUUCCUCGGGCCCCGCCCACCCGCGCACUUCCGGGGGCGGGGCCGGAACCAGGGCGCCCCCCGGUGGCUCCUCCCGGAAGCGCCGCAGCCGCAGCCGCAGCCCCCGGCGGCGCUAAAGGGACCGAAAUCCGCGGAAUUCGGCCCAAAAUCCGGGAAUAAAAACGGAAAAAUACAGAGAAGGUUUCAGAGGGUUUUUUUGGAGGGAAAACGGUGGAUUUUGGGGAAAAAUACGGUAUUUUUGGAAAAAAAAAAUCGGAUUUUGGGGGAGGAAAAUGGGAUUUUUCGGGAAAAAAAUGGGAUUUUUGGGGAUGGAUUUGGAGGUUUUGGGGAAAAUAUUGAGAAUUUUGGGGGAGAAUUGUGGAUAUUUGGAAGAAAAAAGAAAAUUUAGGGAGAAAUUAUGGAUUUUUUGGAAAAAGAUUGGAUUUUGGGGAGAAAAUGGAAUUUUGAAGGUAAAUCUGGGUUUUGGGGAAGAAAUCAGGAAUUUUUUGGGAAAAAUUAGUAUUUUUUAGGUGAGGUUAACGUUUUUGAUGGAAAACCAGAAAAUUUGAGGAGAAUUUCUGGAUUUUUGGGAAAAAGAUUGGAUUUUUGGGGGAAAA
rnacentral:lncRNA from 1 species